rnacentral:rRNA from 1 species
UACGUAGGGUGCAGGCGUUAAUCGGAAUUACUGGGCGUAAAGCGUGCGCAGGCGGCUCCUUAAGUCAGAUGUGAAAUCCCCGGGCUCAACCUGGGAAUUGCGAUGGAGACUGCAAGGCUAGAAUCUGGCAGAGGGGGGGUAGAAUUCCACGUGUAGCAGUGAAAUGCGUAGAGAUGUGGAGGAACACCGAUGGCGAAGGCAGCCCCCUGGGCCAACACUGACGCUCAGGCACGAAAGCGUGGGGAGCAAACGAGGAUUAGAAACCCGUG